AUUGAACGCUGGCGGCGUGCCUAACACAUGCAAGUCGAGCGGUAACAGGUGUAGCAAUACAUGCUGACGAGCGGCGGACGGGUGAGUAACGCUUGGGAAUCUGCCUGUUAGUGGGGGACAACCCGGGGAAACUCGGGCUAAUACCGCAUACGCACUACGGUGGAAAGCCGGGGACCGCAAGGCCUGGCGCUAACAGAUGAGCCCAAGUCGGAUUAGCUAGUUGGUAGGGUAACGGCCACCAAGGCGACGAUCCGUAACUGGUCUGAGAGGACGACCAGUCACACCGGAACUGAGACACGGUCCGGACUCCUACGGGAGGCAGCAGUGGGGAAUAUUGGACAAUGGGCGAAAGCCUGAUCCAGCGACGCCGCGUGGGUGAAGAAGGCCUGCGGGUUGUAAAGCCCUUUCGGUGGGGAAGAAAAGCCUCGAGUUAAUACCUCGGGGUCUUGACGUAACCCAUAGAAGAAGCACCGGCUAACUCUGUGCCAGCAGCCGCCGUAAU
rnacentral:rRNA from 1 species